AUCCCAGAAAAGCAGAGAAAAGGUGCUUUAUCUGAUUCAUAGGAGGCCAAUAGCAAAGUCUGUGGAGGGUUUCGCUGAUAAAUGCCUGUUUUUAAUCAUCACACGGCGUUUACUAGUAACUUUCCAUACAUUU